rnacentral:lncRNA from 1 species
AAUUAAACCCCCAAAAAUUAAAAUCCCAAAUCCUAACCCCUUUCUCACUCCUGAUUUCUCCCCUUUCGCACUCCCGAUGUCUCCCAUUUUUACGAUUUGACCGGUGAAACACCGUUCAGCAGUGGCUAUUUCUUCUCGUCGACCUACUCCGUUAUUUCUUGUCGACUUCUCCAGCAAUUUCGUCCGGUGGAUUCAUCUUCCGGUGGAAUUUAUCAUCACUUCGGCCACUCGGUAAGUGUUUUAAUUUUCUGUUUUAACUGAAAAUAUGAUUAGAGAUUACAUAUUCUCUGUUGGAACGAAACAUGUUAUUAGAGAUUACAUAUUUUAAUUAUAGAUAGAAUUCAUAUUUUACAAUUUUUUCUUUUCUUUUAGGGGUUUAGAAAUAAGAAUCCAGAUUGAUACAUUGGUUUAAUACAGUUUCAUACAGAUACAUUUAAUUCUGAUAGAAUUCAGAUUCAUACAGUUUAACAAAUAUAGGUUUAAUACAGAUUGAUUGAUGAAUUUAGAAAUACAGGUUGAAUGAUGAAUUUAGUUGGGUUUUACCCAAACAACCAUACUAAAUAUGAUCUGCUUCUCUGGAGUUUUAGAAUUCUCUUCUUACUGUAAUUGACUGUUUUUUCUUUUUUUUAAUGGUUUGUUGUAUUUUGCUGUUAUUUAUCUUCUUGUAAAAAGUUAUAUCAGGGAGGGAUAAAUGAAUUUUAGAAUAAUUUGGAGAUGAACCAAGAGGAUAAAAACUCUUGAAAAAAUCUCGAAGCCCAGGUUGAUAUAUUUCCUUCAAAGCUUUAGCCCACUCUACAUGAUCUGGAUCCUAAUUUCUGUACUCUACAAGCACCUGAAUUGUAGUAAAUAAAAGCUUAAUCCGAACUCUCCAAAUUUAAAAUGACAACAGUGAUAUAAGUCGUGGGCAUUAAAGUCGUAUAAAUUAAGAUUAAUCCUCAAAUUUAUACUCAGUAACUUAGAAAUCACAAUACACAUGGCCUCAACAGGAAAUGUGAAAAUACAUUCAUACCAGAACUACUGAUGAAAUUUAAAAUUUGACUAAUGCAGAAUGUAUAUUAAAAAAUGCUAUCAUGUGCAGAGACUAGAAACAUGUUUUUAGGUUGAUUCAUUAUUCAUGCAUAAUGCACGUCAUACCAAUAGGGCUAGCUAGUGAUUGGUAUUAUGCAAAAAGUGGGUUGCAUACUUACACUGUUCUAGUCACUACUCUCUUUUUUGUCAAACUGUAAAAUUAAGUUCGUGGAAAAUAUUUAGAUUUUAAAUUUUUGACAAAACAAACUAUUUGCACAUUCAAUAAUAUUAACUGAAAAUCAAUCAAGUGGAACUUAGACAUUAAAUUUUACUUUUAAUGCAUAUAAGAAUUUUAAUUAAGACCAAACUACUCAUGUUUUUUCCUUUCUAGAUCUUUAAUCAGUUGUUUAUAACAGUUGUGAAUUCUGAAAUAAGGAUUUAGCAAAAUUGAUAUUCUCCUAACUCUCCCCAAUUUUACUCAUAUGUUUAUGAGUUAUACACUAUUUUGCAUGUCAUAUCAUAUAAUCUCAUUUCAAUUUUUCUUCAGAAUAUUUCUACAUCUUGUUAACAUCUUCAAUCGACUUAUGACUUUUUUAAUAUCAUAUGCUUAAGAUUGUGUUAGAAUACACAAUCCUAGAAGGUUGCUUGUGUCGUAUAUUUAUUUGCAGGUUUAAUUUUAUUUGCUUUUGUUUCAUUAUUGAAGUGUGUGUUUUGAUUUCAAUUAUCAUUAAAAGCAAAAUGGUCAUGGAAAAAUUUUAAAAAAUUGAAACAAUUAAUUCGAUUAUUGACUAAUUAAUUCAAACUGUAAUUUGAUAUAGUUUAUUCAAACUUACAGGUAUUGGUGUUAAAGAAGAGUUUCUUCCAAACUCCACGAAAAAUUCGAAGUAAUUUCUAAUUUCUGAUUUCUUAUUUCAAUUAUCAUUUUAGUUUAUUAAUCUAAUUUUUUUAAAUGCAUUACUUAAUUAUUGUUUACUUAAUAUUUUGAAUAAAUAAUUAAUUUAAAUAAAUUGUUUGAUAUAGCAUAUGGGAAGGAGAAAAAAACAGAUACCGCGUAGACCUCCAUUUCCGGUACGUGUUCCGGAAGUACGCCCACAAGUUCCUGCUGUACCUACAACAGUACUUGUACCUGUUGUACCUUCAUUUCAGCCAGAUCCAGUGUAUGUUCCGCAGGCAGUAAGUCAAUCGAGCUCUCAUCAUCCGCCAAUCGUAAUGAGAGUAAAGCAACCAUCUAGGAGGCCCCCGACGAUGGAUCAUCCACCAAGGUUUGUUCGUCCAUCUAGGACUUCAAAUAAUUUGUUUAAUUUGUAUGUUGGAUUGAAUGUUUUGUGAAUGUAAAUUUGAAUGAAUUGUGAAUGAUCGAAUGAAUUCGAAUAUUUUGAAUGAAUUUCUAUUUUUCUUUAGAUUGAAUGUAUUAUAAAUCGAAUGCUUAUGAAUGAAUGUCUAUUUUCAGGUAAAAGAAUGGAUGUGUAAGGCUCCUAGAGAGCACCCAUUAGUUUCGUCAAAAAAAAUUUGUCGGUCUCAUUAUUUAGCGACGACCUAAGGACGGCCAAUUGAAACAGGAAGUUCAAAAAAAAAACUAGAGACGGCAAGUUAAAACAUGAAGUUAAAAAAAUAUAUUUAGAGACGGCCUAGGGAGGGUUAUUCUAAAAAUUAGAGACGGCUUAUGGACAGUAAUGAAAAUUUAAGCGCCAAAAAAUUGGCGCGGAAAAAAAAAUAGCGACGGAUUAGAGACGGCUUGGCCCUAAUCUCAUCUAAUCCUAAAUUUUAAUUAGCGACGGCCAAUGCCGUCUCUAAUCCUUCCCUAAUAAUUAGAGACGGAUAUGAAGGCCGUCUCUAAAAAAUCAACGAGGCGACUUUCAGGGUAGAAUUAGAGACGGCCAAAAACUGUCGCUAAUCAUCAAUUAGCGAUGGUUUUUGAUGAUUAGCGACGGUUUCUGAUCGUCGCUAAAAGUCAGUAAUUUGGUAGUGGAAGCAUGCGGAAGAGAUCUCUUUUACAAACGCAAAUCUUGUGGAUAUAACAACACCACACCAUGACCUGUUGGUCAUCACGCUGAUGC